UCAAUUAAACUGACAUACUUUGUCUGGAGGACUCAAUUAGAAACUCUCAGCCACUUUUGACUUGUGUUACCAUGGUCAUAAAUGGGGAGGUAAUAUGUACAAUUCUGUGCCUCUAGUUCCAGUGUUGUUACUAAAAUGGGUCUUUUCUAAAUGUUAUUCAGUGUCUAAGGAGAUGGACAGAUUAAGAUUUAACUCACAUUAGCCAUGGAUGCUAUUCAGCAUGGAUAUUCUGUGCAUAAUAUAUAAGUAGUGAGGCCAGUAUUUGGUGACAAAGCCAAACUUUGCAGCACCAACAACUGAAAACAAUGUGGAAACAGAAGUGGAAAGCAACUAGAGGUUAGAAACAGCAUUUUCUGGUGUAGCUCUACAUAAGGACUCCAGAAGCACCCUAGCUCUGGAUCUUCAGCUCUCUGAACUGUCCUGAUUUCAGUGGGAUAGUGUUCAUUUUCUUCACAGUGGCUGGUAUGAUGCUGUGCUUUGGAUUUAGGAGAAAAUAAGAGUGUUGAUAACACUCCAAUGUUUUAAUUGUCAUUAUCUGUACUUACACUACGUCAAGGACUUCUCAGCUUCUCACACUGCCCUGCCAGCAAGGAGGCUGGGGGUGCACUGGGAGCUGUGGGGGGGACAGAAUUAAGUCAGCUGACCCCAACUGGCCAAGCAGAUGUCCCAUGCAAUAUGGUGUCAUGUUGAAUGAUAAAACCGGGGAGGGUUGGUGUGGUGGCUCCUGCUGCUUGGGGAUUCAGGCUCACGUUCAUUUUGGAGGAUUUGGAAGAGACCAGAGUGUGGGCUGAGAGAAGUUUGAGAGUUUGAUUAAUUCUGUCUGAGCGGGACAGCCUUGAGAAGCCAUUUUGCAUGUGGUUGUGCAGCCCAGGUGCUAAACAAUGUCUGUGCUGCUUUGGUCCCACCAGGCCUGGUUGGACACCAAAUUGCCCUCCACAGUCUGCCAGUGCAGAGCAGCUGCUCAGAAGGACUGCACAUAGAAUUUCACCAAGUCCAUAAUCCCUUUCUUUAAUGAGCAUUUAAGUGAAACAUGCUGUGCCUGUGGUGUGGACUGAGCAUCUUCCAUCAUCUUCGGUUGUAUAAAUGGAAAACUGGAUUUCCGAGAAAAGAAACGCUUGGAGUCUGAUCUCAAUGGGAAGACAAUCACAACUAAAAUGAAGAAUUUGCUAAAAAAAAUGUAUGGCUAAAAAAUAAAAAUAAGGCACCCUAUGAGAUGGAAAAUAAAUUAUUCCUAAAUGGUACAAGGGAGCUGCAAUGCAGUGUUCUGUAGCUCUCUCUAUACACCUGAGUGCAUCAAGUGGUGCAAGAGUGGGUGUGUGAAAGGACGUCAGCUUUGGGUAAAAGCUCAUUCUGGUCCAGAGGUGAACUGAGAGCACCACUUAUACAUAAAAUAAAUGACAGAUAUCCCCUCAGCGCUCUCCAAAUGCCAAUGAUCAGAAAUUGCAGGCUUUGAAGCAGGCAGUGCUGAAGGGGGACAAAGAAAAUACUGGUGGUGGGGAAAGGGGGCACAAAUACAGCAACUGAUGCAAAGGACACAGAAAAGUUUUUCCCUAAAUCAGGAACAAUGAAGCACUGAUACAGGAGCGUUAUUUGAAAGGAGAUAGUAAUUAUGUAGAACAAAACAUUCAAUGAGUACUAUCAUUUUCCAUUUAGGAAAGAGCAAGAUAAUGGGCUACUACCAUGUGAGGAUGAUAAAUGACUACGAUCUAUUAAGGACUAAGUACGUUGCUGGAAAACAGCUAUUAGAAAUAAAUAUUUUGAAGAGCUGGCAGAUGAAAGUUUUCAUUUGUUGAUGCUUAUUUGUUUUGUCUUGAAACGUUAUCUUAAUUUCAAUAGUGCCAAAGAACAUUAAUUAGAUGAUAUUUGUAAAAGAUUUUCAGACAGCUUGGACAGCGGCUAAUCUGAAUUUUUUAGCAUGGAAAACCUGAUGUGGGAUUCAAUUACAAAAUCAUGCAGGUCUGUUAGUCUGUUUUAAUAUGAUAAAAUUUAAAUUUUCCAGCUAUAAGCAAAAGCAUACAGCAAAAACAAAGCAGGGAGUGUCCUGAGAGCAACGUCUUUGAAAAAGACUUAGGGGUUGUGUGGUUGAAAACAACUCAGUAUAGCAGGGCUGUAGAGCAAAGGGAACUAGCAUGAACUCACAUUACAUAAAUAUAAGGAAGAACAGUGAGAAGAUAGGAAAGAGGGCUGGAAAUCUACAUAUAGCACUGAUCAUGCCGCUCCUGCAAGCCCUUUCCAGGUCUGGUCACUUUAUGGGGUGCAGAAAAGAGUCCAAGAAAGGUUUUGGAGACUGUGAUAAGGCCUUAUAGUGAGAAACUUUAAACUGCUCACCCUGACCGGUUAUUCUGUACAAAGACAGACUUGAUGAUUUUGUAGAAUUGUCUUCAUGGGAUAUUCAAGUGCUCUCCCAAAGCAACAAAAUCAUUGAAUGGAGGAAGAGAAACAAAUUUGUACCAGUGAGGGUGAUCAUCUAGAAGAACAAACCUCCAAGGCAGAUAAUGCAUUCCUAUCUUCUGAUGUAUUCUGAAUGUCACAUUUGAAAGAGGGGUAGCUAACGUCAAUCUGGAAACAACCUUCCUUGCUUCUCUAGAUAUGGCAAUUGAAUAGUCCACCUUCUUAAAAAUGUGGUUGGCUCCUGUGGAGCAAAGGACUGGAUACUGCAGAAGAAGAGAUGAUAAUGUGGUUAUCAUACAGGGAGAGAGCAGGAACUGGAGCGAGGUUAGAAGAGGGAAUCCUGCUGAUAUAAAUAACCAGCUAAAUCCAUGAUGUUCAACAUCCAGUAGAGGUUCACCAGUCUAAAAUAUUUUAUAGCUUUUUUUUGAGAGCCAGGAUGGAAGGGCUAAAGCAGUUGUUAGAUGAGAAAAGUUGUUCUCUUGGCAAGAUGUCUCCCAAUUGCGAGUGUGAGUGUACCCUAGUGAGCAGCAGUCAUAGAAUCAUAGAAUCAUAGAAUGGCUUGGGUUGGAAGGGACCUCAAGGAUCAUCAAGCUCCAAUCCCCCUGCAACAAGCAGGGCCGCCAACCUCCACAUUUAAUACUAGAUCAAGCUGCACAAGACCCCAUAUAAUCUGGCCUUGAACACCUCCAGGGACAGGGCAUCCACAACCUC